rnacentral:rRNA from 1 species
GACGAACGCUGGCGGCGUGCUUAACACAUGCAAGUCGAACGGAAAGGCUCCAGCUUGCUGGAGUACUCGAGUGGCGAACGGGUGAGUAACACGUGGGUAAUCUGCCCUGCACUCUGGGAUAAGCCUGGGAAACUGGGUCUAAUACUGGAUAUGACCUUUCUCCUUAUGGGGUUUGGUGGAAAGUUUUUCGGUGUAGGAUGAGCCCGCGGCCUAUCAGCUUGUUGGUGGGGUGAUGGCCUACCAAGGCGACGACGGGUAGCCGGCCUGAGAGGGUGAUCGGCCACAUUGGGACUGAGAUACGGCCCAGACUCCUACGGGAGGCAGCAGUGGGGAAUAUUGCACAAUGGGCGGAAGCCUGAUGCAGCGACGCCGCGUGAGGGAUGACGCCCUUCGGUUUGUAAACCUCUUUCAGCAGGGACGAAGCGUAAGUGACGGUACCUGCAGAAGAAGCACCGGCUAACUAUGUG